rnacentral:rRNA from 1 species
CGCACGGUAAACGAUGGAUACCCGCUGUUUGCCCGUAGGGGUGAGCGGCCAAGCGAAAGCAUUAAGUAUCCCACCUGGGGAGUACGCCGGCAACGGUGAAACUCAAAGGAAUUGACGGGGGCCCGCACAAGCGGAGGAACAUGUGGUUUAAUUCGAUGAUACGCGAGGAACCUUACCCGGGCUUGAAUUGCAGACGAAUGCGAUAGAGAUAUCAAAGUCCUUCGGGACGUCUGUGAAGGUGC